CUGGAGCCCGGCGGCCGCCACCCCAGGGAGAAAGCUCCGGUACAAGGAUAAAAUUUAAGAAGAGAGGACUACAGAUCACUUUAACGCUAAAGGGAAUUGUAGUGAAGCAUGGAUGUUUUCCCAUUAAGGUGACUUUCUUCUGGGGUGUGUGUGUGUGUGUGUGUUUAGUUUUUUGUGCCUUUAUGUUUCUAUCAGUUUGUCUUUCCCAGUGAAAAUUAAUUCAAAUGUGUCUUCAUUGAUAUAUUUCAAGUGUUGUGCGCUGAACAUUGAGUCAGAAUAAUUUGAUUAAGGUUCAAUGAUAAAACCACUCUGUCUCACUGAUUUUAAUUAAACUGGAAUCUGAAAAACACAUGCAUUCAAUAUAGUGGCCAUUAUUUUUAAUUCUAAACAAACUUUUUUGGUUUUGAGCCAAUAUUUUUAGUUCUAAACCAACAUUUUUGGUUGGUUUAGUUCUAAACCAACAUGUUGAAACCUUGGGAGGUUUUCGCAUUUUCCAGAGUGAGAACUGCUUGCAUUGACUUCCCGGAAUGUGUAGUACCAGACCCUCAACCUUAAAAGAAGUUCCAUUCUUCUCCACUUCUCUCUUCUCCCCAGGACCCAUGACUUUACACUUCAAUAUUUCUGCAGGGCUCACAGUUCACUGA
rnacentral:lncRNA from 10 species